rnacentral:rRNA from 1 species
CGNUGCUUANCAUGCAGUCGAACGGCAGCACGGAGCUUGCUCUGGUGGCGAGUGGCGAACGGGUGAGUAAUAUAUCGGAACGUACCCUGGAGUGGGGGAUAACGUAGCGAAAGUUACGCUAAUACCGCAUACGAUCUAAGGAUGAAAGUGGGGGAUCGCAAGACCUCAUGCUCGUGGAGCGGCCGAUAUCUGAUUAGCUAGUUGGUAGGGUAAAAGCCUACCAAGGCAUCGAUCAGUAGCUGGUCUGAGAGGACGACCAGCCACACUGGAACUGAGACACGGUCCAGACUCCUACGGGAGGCAGCAGUGGGGAAUUUUGGACAAUGGGCGAAAGCCUGAUCCAGCAAUGCCGCGUGAGUGAAGAAGGCCUUCGGGUUGUAAAGCUCUUUUGUCAGGGAAGAAACGGUGAGAGCUAAUAUCUCUUGCUAAUGACGGUAC